UUUCAAGAAAUACCAGUCACGCUACAUUACCGCUGGAGUCACGCUAGUGUCCGAAUAUCCUCAGCGUUAAUAAAAAUACAACGAAAACAAAAGUA